rnacentral:rRNA from 1 species
GAUGAACGCUGGCGGCGUGCCUAAUACAUGCAAGUCGAGCGAACAGACGAGGAGCUUGCUCCUCUGAUGUUAGCGGCGGACGGGUGAGUAACACGUGGAUAACCUACCUAUAAGACUGGGAUAACUUCGGGAAACCGGAGCUAAUACCGGAUAACAUGUUGAACCGCAUGGUUCAACAGUGAAAGACGGUCUUGCUGUCACUUAUAGAUGGAUCCGCGCCGCAUUAGCUAGUUGGUAAGGUAACGGCUUACCAAGGCAACGAUGCGUAGCCGACCUGAGAGGGUGAUCGGCCACACUGGAACUGAGACACGGUCCAGACUCCUACGGGAGGCAGCAGUAGGGAAUCUUCCGCAAUGGGCGAAAGCCUGACGGAGCAACGCCGCGUGCGUGAAGAAGGUCUUCGGAUCGUAAAACUCUGUUAUUAGGGAAGAACAAAUGUGUAAGUAACUAUGCACGUCUUGACGGUACCUAAUCAGAAAGCCACGGCUAACUACGUG